AAGUCUGAAUCCUGAAAUUGACCAAUCAUUCAGUCACAUGUUAACUUGUAUUAUCCUCUUGAUUCUCAAACCAGAUUGUAAGAAGAUUAAGAACAAGGAUGAUACAUUAUACUUUUCUGGUGUCUCCUACAAAAUUAAGCACACAGUAAUGUUUGACAGCACAGAAGAAGUAAGAGGAGAUUGGGACACAGACACACACAGAGGGAGGACCACAUGAGGACACAGGGAGAAGACGGCCACCUACAUGCCAAGGAGAGAGGACUCAGAAGGAGCCAACCCUGCUGACACUUUGAUCUUGGACUGCCAGCUUCCAGAACUGGGAAACAAUAAAUGUUUGUUGUUGAA